rnacentral:lncRNA from 1 species
AUAAGAUGGUAAGUAUUUCCGAUAUUUUGCAGCAGAAAACUUGUAGUUUCUCAGGGAAAUAUGUAUUUUAUGGUUUCCCUUGGAAAAUAAAUAGACGUCAACAUUGCAGGGUCAGCUGCGUCUAAAAAACAAGAGGGACGACAGAUACCAGAAGGAGAGUCAAACUCAUAGAUAGAAAAUAAACUGACAACGCCAUUGCUAAAAAUAAACUGACAACGCCAUGCUAAAAAUAAAAAUAGAAACAGACAAAUAAUAUUACAGAAGACACAACAUAGAAAACUAAAGACUUAGCAACACAAACCCCAUCAAAAACUAGGGGUGAUCUCAGGUGCUCCGGAAGUAUAAGCAGAUCCUACUCCACAUGUUGCAACCGUC